AACUAACGCUGGCGGCGUGCCUAACACAUGCAAGUCGUACGAGAAAGCCGGCUUCGGCUGGUGAGUAAAGUGGCGCACGGGUGAGUAACGCGUGGAUAAUCUGCCCUUAAGUGUGGAAUAACGUACCGAAAGGUGCGCUAAUACCGCAUAAUGCCUGGCAACACAAGUUGUCCGGCCAAAGAAGGCCUCUGUUUACAAGCUUUCGCUUCAGGAUGAGUCCGCGUACCAUUAGCUUGUUGGUGGGGUAAUGGCCUACCAAGGCUGCGAUGGUUAGCUGGUCUGAGAGGAUGAUCAGCCACACUGGAACUGAGACACGGUCCAGACUCCUACGGGAGGCAGCAGUGAGGAAUAUUGCGCAAUGGGGGCAACCCUGACGCAGCAACGCCGCGUGAGUGAGGAAGGUUUUCGGACUGUAAAGCUCUGUCGAGCGGGAAGAAGUGUACCAUGGCUAAUAUCCAUGAUAUUUGACGGUACCGCUAGAG
rnacentral:rRNA from 1 species